AGGGUGGCUUUCUGCCUCUUGGAAUGGGUCUCUGUCAGACCUGGGGGACGCCACAGGACAGAUAGCUAAGAUUCGCACAGUGGAAUCACCUGGGCUUUGAAAACUGCAGGCUCCGCCCAUUUUAGGAGAUUCUGAGUUAAUCAGUCCGGGCAGGGGUGGUAUUACUGCUUUAAUCCUCCGGUUCUGCAGGUCCCCAAGAUGGGAAUCACCAUCGCCCCCAAGGCGGGUGGUGGAAACCACCCCUGAUGGAUCCAGCGCUGGGCUCCAAGAGCGCCAAGUCCUGUUACAAAACCUGAGACUAUGGCUCUGCCAGGCUGCCAAGCGGAGGAGGGAGCAGGAUUCCCAUUCACUUCACUGGUGUCUCCCAAACACCUGGCUCUUCCCGGCUCCGCGACCUGGAAACUCUCAUUCCAAAGGCGUGGGAGGGUGCCCGGGAAUCUGUAUUUUUAAGAGGCAAACACAGAUCGGGAAAGUUUGGGCAACACCGCCGGACACACUUUACUGAGUCUUUGCCGUGGAAAAGAAAUGAGUCAACCCACCAUCAUAAAACCUAAAGCAAUACAGCAAAAACGCAAUGCCCAGAGGUCGCGUGCCUGCGAGUCCACGUUUAUUUCUCAGGCCCGAGAUGUCCGUUUGGGGGUUUAGGGGACGGGCCUGGGCUCCUGACAGCCUUCCAGACAUGCUACCCACGUUCCGCGGGUUCCCGGCGAGCCGGGAGCGAGCCGCCGAGUCAUCAUUUCCAGCCUCAGACUGGAAAGCUGGACCGUGCAGCGCGUGUGCUCUUGGCAGCCGGGCGCCCCGGGCCCCGCGGCCACAUCAUCCUGGGGCGGGAGGUGCGCUCCGGACGCCUGCGCCGCCACCGAGCCACGUCUGUGCCGCCGGGGCGCAUGGCCCUGGAGGCGCCCAGCCGCUAGCCGCCCGGUGGGCGAGCGCCGACCCGGGGCGGGACCCUGGCGGGCACCCCGAGCGGUCUCUAGGACCCGCGGGACGCCGCCGCCGGGCGGGGUGCGGGGAGAAGAUAAUUUGUUCCGUGGUAAUGAGCACGGUGACUGUUGGCCGUGGAUCCAUUUCACAGGCCUGCCUUCUCUGCCUGACGAUCUUCUCGUCGCCGGGCCAAGUCGGACAGUUUGCUCGUUUAUUGCAACGGUCAAGGCCGGCUCGUGCCAGCACAGCGCGCGCGCGCACACGCACACACGGGGGAAAACUUUUUUAAAAAAAUGAAAGCCUAGACUCGCUGCUCGGCGGCGCGGGCGCUGCGCGAGGCGUUCGCAGCCGAGUCCCUGCCGGGCGCCCGCCUGAGCUGGUGCAGCGCCCGCCGCCCGGCCCCGGGAGCUGCCGCGCCGCAGGCCCGCUCCCAUGGCCGCGCGCCCGCCGCCCGCGCCCCCGGCCCGCGCCCUCCUGCUCGCCCUGGCCGCGGCUCUGCUGGCGCCCCCCGCCGCCCGCGGGGUGAACUUGGGAAGCAAAUUAGCACCUUUCACGCAACAGGCCGGAAGGAGGAGCCGGGGAGGAGCUUAUGAAGUAGUCAGUGGCUCUCUUGUGAACAAAGACCCCUGGAAUCCCAUGAAGAGUAUUGACUCAAAGAAUCAUCCAGAAAUGUUGACUUUUCGAGUACAACUGGAAAACAAAGAACUGACCAUAAAUCUGGAAAGGAAUGACGGUCUCAUUGCUAGCGGUUUCACAGAAACCCACUACCUGCAAGAUGGCACUGAUGUCUCCCUCACUCGAAAUCACACGGGUCACUGUUACUACCACGGACACGUGCAAGGAGAUCCUGGUUCCACGGUCAGCCUCAGCGCGUGUUCGGGUCUCAGGGGACUUAUUACAUUUGAAAAUAACACCUAUAUCUUGGAACCAAUGGAAAAUGCAACCAACAGCUACAAAGUCUUCCCAGCAGAGGAACUGAGAGGCCCCUGGGGGUCCUGCGGAUCUCAUCUCAGCACAGCAGCCCUCGCUGCGGACCACAAGCUCCCACCACCCUCCCCACCGUGGGCAAGAAGGCAUAAAAGAGAGACCCUCAAAAUGACCAAGUAUGUUGAGCUGGUUAUUGUGGCUGACAACCGAGAGUUUCAGAGGCAAGGAAAAGAUCUGGAGAAAGUUAAGCAGCGAUUAAUAGAGAUUGCUAAUCACGUUGACAAGUUUUACAGGCCGCUGAACAUCCGAAUAGUGCUGGUGGGCGUGGAGGUGUGGAAUGACAUCGACAAAUGCCCUAUAAGUCAGGACCCAUUCACAAGCCUCCAUGAAUUUCUGGACUGGAGAAAGAUGAAGCUUCUGCCUCGCAGAUCCCAUGACAAUGCACAGCUGAUCAGUGGGGUUUAUUUCCAAGGGACCACCAUCGGCAUGGCACCGAUCAUGAGCAUGUGCACCGCAGAGCAGUCUGGGGGAAUUGUCAUGGACCAUUCAGACAGCCCCCUUGGUGCGGCCGUGACCUUGGCGCACGAGCUGGGCCACAACUUCGGGAUGAACCAUGACACCCUGGAGAGAGGCUGUAGCUGCAGAACGGCUGCCGACAAAGGAGGCGGGGGCUGCAUCAUGAACCCCUCCACAGGGUACCCCUUCCCCAUGACGUUCAGCAGCUGCAGCAAGAGGGACCUGGAGGCCAGCCUGGAGAAAGGCGUGGGCAUGUGCCUCUUCAACCUGCCGGAAGUUAAGCAGUCUUUUGGGGGCCCGAAGUGUGGGAACGGAUAUGUCGAAGAAGGAGAAGAGUGUGACUGUGGGGAGCCAGAGGAAUGCAUGAAUCUCUGCUGCAACGCCACCACCUGUACCCUGAAGCCAGACGCUGUAUGCGCACACGGGCUGUGCUGUGAGGACUGCCAGCUGAAGCCUGCGGGGAUGGCGUGCAGGGGCUCCGGCAACUCCUGUGACCUCCCUGAGUUCUGCACGGGGGUCAGCCCCCAGUGCCCAGCCAACGUGUACCUGCACGACGGGCACCCGUGCCAGGGGGUGGAUGGUUACUGCUACAACGGCAUCUGUCAGACGCAUGAACAGCAGUGCAUCACGCUCUGGGGACCAGGUGCUAAACCUGCCCCGGGGAUCUGCUUCGAGAGAGUCAACUCUGCAGGUGACCCUUAUGGCAACUGUGGCAAAGACUCCAAGAGUUCCUUUGCCAAAUGCGAGCUGAGGGAUGCUAAGUGUGGAAAAAUCCAGUGUCAAGGAGGUGCCAGCCGGCCAGUCAUCGGUACCAAUGCUGUUUCCAUAGAAACGAAUAUCCCACUUCAGGAAGGAGGUCGGAUUCUGUGCCGUGGAACCCAUGUGUACUUAGGUGAUGACAUGCCAGACCCAGGGCUUGUGCUCGCUGGCACAAAGUGUGCGGAUGGAAAAAUCUGCCUCAAUCGUCAAUGUCAAAAUAUAAGUGUCUUCGGUGUUCACGAGUGUGCCAGGCGGUGCCACGGCAGAGGGGUGUGUAACAACAGGAGGAACUGCCACUGCGAAGCCCACUGGGGGCCCCCCUUCUGUGACAAGUUGGGCUUUGGAGGAAGCACAGACAGUGGCCCCGUUCGCCAAGCAGAUAACCAAGGUGUAACGAUAGGCGUUCUGGUGACCAUCCUGUGUCUUCUUGCUGCUGGGUUUGUGGUUUAUCUCAAAAGGAAGACGUUGAUACAACUGCUGUUUAUGGAUAAAAAAACAACCAUUGAAAAGCUAAGGUGCGUACGCCCUUCCCGGCCGUCUGGUGGCUCCCAGCCUGGGCAGGCUCACCUCACGCACCUCAGCAAAGGCCUGAUGAGGAAGCCCCCACACUGCGCCACAAAUAAGGCCAGCACGCGGAGACCGCCGCCGAGCCAGAAUGUUGACAUCAGCAGGCCCCUCAAAGCCCUGGACGCCUCGCAGCCCAUUUCGCCUCAGCGGGUGCUCCCACCCCUCCACAAGGCUCCCCGUGCGCCCAGCGUCCCUGCCAGGCCCCUGCCGGCCAACCCUGCCCUUAGGCAUGCCCAGGGAACUCAUAAGCCAAACCCUCCUCAGAAGCCUCUGCCUGCAGAUCCUUUGAACAAGACCACGCGGCUUGCCAGCGCCUCAGCCAGGCCCCUGGGACAGCAGGAGUCCGGGCUCCACCUCGCGCCCAUCAGACCUGCUCCUAAACAGACACAUCAACUGCCCAGACCCACCCACACUGCCUAUACUAAGUGAGAAACAAGCCAACACUUUUUAUCAACAGUGAAGACAGAAGUUUGCACUAUCUUUCAACUCCAGUUGGAGUUAUUUUUUGUACCAACUUCUAGAAAUUUUUUAAUGUGGAAGACACCAUUAUUUUAAGAACUUUGAGCUGCCGCCAUUGGUGCUGUGCUGUGUGCUAUGGUGCUCUGUAUACUUGCUCAGGCAUGAAUAAUGGAGUUGACUUCAGCUUAUAAGGCCAUCACUGAGAAAGUCAGUGUGCUUAGACACAAAGUAGGCCCUGAGGGUAGUUACUUUUCUUCGUCUUAUUAAAGCUAUAGGUUCUGGGACCCCCACUUCACUGGGAAGUAUAUGGCUGCUCUUUCAAACAUUCUGUUUAAAAGUUUAGCUCCUGAAAUGUCCUACCACAGUUUGUUUCCCUGACACAGGGAAUCAGAUGCAGAGCAAUCAGGAGAAAGAGUGCGUAGAAUUUUCCAUUGUCAGAAUACCACGCACAGAGGUUACACUUCCCAGUGUGAAUUUUUCCAGCUUACACAUGUGGAAUGACAUCACAGAACCCACAAAAGCAACAGAUUAAACUACAUGAGAAUACUUGCUCCUGAUGAGUCUCAGGGGGGACAUUUUUCUGCCUUCUUAACUUUGUUAGGAAUUCUCAGGCUGAAACCACAGGCCAUCGUUCUCUGGCAAAUCAACACAUCAGUGUACCACCCCACCCCCGACAAAAGAUGAGUGUCAGUCUGUUUCUUCGGAGACUGUGAUCUCCCAUGGUGCUAAAAGAGCCUGGUGCUGGGCCGGCUGAAUGCCCAGGCAUCCUCCUGCCAUCGCCCCCGAUGUUUACCGAGCAUUCUGAGCCACCAGGACCCUGAGAACCGAACACCUGGGAUGCCUGCGCAGCUGGGCCGGGUCUUUCUCCUUUUCCCCUGCAAACUGACCACCUUGCAGUCUCUCCUCCUGGGACUUAGUUCAUUUCAAACUGCUGCUGCGGACGGCUCCACUGGGUGUUGUGGGACCAGGAGGCCCAGGGCAGAUUGGCUCUGGAGAUGCGCCUCAUUACUAGCAAAGUGACCCAGUCAAACCCCAGGGACCCAGGUAAACCGUCUGCCGGUGCUGACCCUGGCUGGGACUCAGGCUGUGGCCUCACACACUAUGACACUUCUCCUCCCCCCCACCGCAUGCAGGAGCAGGCCCGUAAACACAGGUGCACCCAGGCAGCCGAGACUAGCGGAGUUCUGCUUCCCCUUCCCACCCACACACAGUCCCUCCCCCAGGCCACCGGGCUGCUGAUGCUCCUGUCCCUGACCAAGCGCUGUGCCCACAGCAACCACAAGUCCAUCCCUUGGGCACCCAAAGCCCUCCUCCGGGACUGUAGCUCGGAGCUCCCCCCACCAGCCCUGUAUGUGGCAGAGGCCCUCCCACAGGCACAGUGACCUCCCCCUUAAGAUAAUUCUAACUAGAAGGGAGAAUCGGUCACAGAAGGUCAGUUUCCCUAUGAUUGCAAAGUCCUCUUCACUCACAGCCCCCACUGACACCUAUUUCUUUUCAACAAAUUUGAAAACUCAGGUAGUGAUGCAAGUAACACACUAAGAAAGACUCAUGAGCCCCAGGCUGACAACCAUUUCCCCGCAGACAGAGGGCUUCCAGAAGCUAUUUACCUACAUAUGAAUGAGCCAUUUCCCUGCUUUUCAUAAAGAGAAUCCCCUCUUUACUUUUGGGACAGUAAUGGCGGCUUAUAGCCCAGUGAUAAGAGCUUAAUAUGAGAAAAACUAGGAGAAGGAACACUGCGUCUAAAAUUGUUAUAAUGUCCAGUAAUGGGUAGCAACAUCCAGAAGACUUAACACACAGAGGAGUCCUCCGUGUGCUUCAUCUCUUCUGGGUUGAGUACCACGUAAGCCACCUUAAUUUCCCACAUCUUCAAAAAACAUGUCCUGUGCCCUCCCUGUGAUUCUCCUUCCAUAAGACGGAUUUUCAGUCAGUUUAGCACAGUUUAAAUCCAGACAGAAUAAAUAUUUUGUGUCCGUUUUAGUUGUACAAAUAACCUAAAUAGGAUGGCAUCUAAGUUCACAGCCUAUGAGCAAGUACUUAAGUAGGGCAGUGAUAGAAAAAACACAUCAAAUCAGACAGAAUAUUCUCAGAACAUCUGAGGCAGGACAAGGGUGGCAGAGCUAAUUAUUCUCCUGUACCUUCUGUCGGGUCAGAUUGGGAAGUUGUUGGGCAGGUCCUUUCUUGAAACGUGUGUGACAACUGUUAAAUGUAACUCUUUAAAACUUGGCUACAGGCUAUUCAGCACCGUACAGAGUUACAGCUACUCAACCAGUACAUUAAUUUUUUAGGGCAUCAUCCAUUUAUAAUGCUUCAGUUUGCUAAUUUUUUCACAUGUCUUUUUAUGUUACAGUCUGUUACUUUUGUAUGCACUUCUCAUAUUGGGGUUCUACAGGUAACACAACUUGCUAUUUCCAUAGAAAAAAGUCAUUGUUAAGAAUAUUAUAUCCAAUAAAUGGUAUACA